GCUGGGUGUGCUGGUGCACGCCUGUAAUCCCAGCAACUCAGAGGCUAAGGCAGAAGGAUUGCAAGUUUGAGGCUAACCUCAGAAGUUUAGCAAGCCCCUAAGACCCUGUCUCAC
rnacentral:sRNA from 1 species